rnacentral:tRNA from 1 species
GCCACCUUAGCUCAACGGCAGAGCAACACUUUUGUAAAGUGAAGGUUCCGAGUUCAAAUCUCGGAGGUGGCU